GCCGAGCUGAGAGCGGCAGCGGCUUGAGGGUGGUGGCUGGAGGCUGCGUGUGUGUGAGUGAGUGUGUGUGUGAGUGGAGCGAGGAGGGCAAGACACCACGGAGACGGGCUGGACAGAGGCGGGAGGGAGUGCGGUGUUGUGUCAGUGAUGGCCUUGAGGAGGAUGCUGCCGAGGUGACACCCAUGCGCGCACCACGCAGCUGCAGCACGGCGGCCGCCUUCGGGGACAACAAGGACAAGAGGCCGCUGCGCCGCGACGAGCGCCGAACACCGCGCCGAUGAGCUGCCUGGAGAGGAUGGCGGGGAGAGGAGGCGGCCCGCCGCGCGCGCUGUGACCGCUGUGACGAGACCGCCAAGACCGCCGAGACGCACCGCCAACGCCACGGCACUGUUUUUGCCGGCACUGCGCGACCCCCACCCACACCCCCACCCCCAACCCCCAGCCCCAAGCCAAGCCAACAGAACCGGAUGCAGGGCGAGGAUGACGGCGCACGACCCAGCGGACCCAGCGGACCCAGCCGACCCGAUGGCCCGGUGAUCAGCGGCAGCCUUGCGGUGCCGUCCUCGCCGCCCUCGCCGUCCUCGCGGCACCAGGAUCCCCAGGAGCAUCUCGUGACCCAGAGCGCCCCCUCCCCCUCCCCCGCCCCCAUCCCUGGCGGGCCCUAGCGACGGAGCAGUCAUGUGCCAGCAGGGCUCUGCCCCUGCCGGCCCCUC